UAGGAUAAGGAAACACUAUCAGGUUUUGGUUCUGUUCUGUUUAACCGGUUACUGUUGUUUUUCUGCUCUGUUCAUUUGGACGUUAGGAGUGUGGGCGGAACUGAACCUCUUGUUCGUAAUUCCUCCGAGUGGAAGCCAUGUGUGCGAGAAAGCUCUGAGGUUGAAUUGAGAUCCUUCUGUCCAGUCCCCUGUAGCGGUCAGUGUAUAGAAGUGGGAAAGUCUGGCUUAGACUGUAAUUCCCUCUGCGCUCUGUGUAAUUCUCUUUUCUGUUUGAGUGUCAAACAGAUGAAUGAGUCUCUGGGUAAACCCUCUAAGAAUAGUCCUUUAAAUUAUAUGUUAAGUAACUGGCCUUUGCCCAAUGGGCCAUGUGUUUUUGUCCAGGUGACAAGCCUCAUGAAGGAGGACUUGGGUAGUCUUGUAAGUAAGAAUGUUUAAGGGAAGAGACCAGGAAGGGUGGGGGCUAGUUGAAAAGCCCACCCUCCGAGCUAAACUGGUAGGGGAACAAGUUGGUGCCCAUGGAAGGGACGGUUCAGCAAGAAAAGCAGGAUCGGGCCCAGGCAGGCAGGCAACAGACAGAGAGAUUGGAAAACAGGUUGGAAAACUUUAAGGGUGUAUUGGAAGGAAGGAGUCAGUAAGUGUAAGCAUGGGGGUUUCAAAUACCCAGGACUUACUUGGAAUGGUGAUUUAAGUUGAUAAAAGUGGCUGUUGGAAGACAAGCAAGUGAUUUAAGGAAGAGUGAGAAGUUAACUCUGUAGUUGCUGGAGAAAACAGCAGUUGAACUUUGUAAAAAUGCUAAAGAAAAAAAAGGUUUUUGGUGUCUGUGAAAUGUUUGUAAAUAAAUUCAGGCAAAGAAAUUAUUGGAUUGCAAUCAUUUGGUUUGGCUAUGAACAAUUUAGUUAAAUUAGCUGAAGAAUGUAUACAGUGUUAUGUAAUUGAAAACCUGGGCUGCUUAUGAAACAAAUACAAGAAAAUAUGGGGUAAUUCCUCUGUUUUUGCCUGAAGUCAACAAGGGUAUUUGUAUAUUUCAAGUGAUGAUUGUCUGCCCAGAAAGGGUGGGUAGACCUCUUGUUUUUUUGUCUUUCAGAUAAUCAGAGAAAACUGAUGCCAGCUGAACAGCAUUCAACAUACCAUGCAUUUACUGGCACAAUAGAAAUUAUGUUUUGUGUUCUAUAUUCUGUCUUGUGGUGUUUGUCUUGUGGCCGGAAUUUUUGUGUUUAAUAUUUUUAUAAAAUAGUCUAGUUUAAAAUCAAACAAAAAGGUUAAAUUAAAAUGCAGAUACUUGUUUUGUUCAACUUGGAAUACAAAGUGUUUGGGUAAAUCAGAAGAAUGUAAUAUACUAAAGUCUAAUGCAUUUCCUCAAGGAAAAGAAACUUCAUUGGUCAAACUGUUAAUUGCAAAAAUUGUUGUUAAAAUUUGCAUACCAACAGUCUUUGAAAGCAAGGACAUGAAAAGUUAACCCACUCCCCAUAUUGUAUAUGGGAUCUUUCUGGCUACCUCAAAUUUCUAGCCAGAGGGCUGGGGAUGGUGGAAAGCUAUUGGACUAGAGGUUAAAUUUAAUGAACUCCUCAAAGUGGGUGUGCUUGUCCUGGCUUGUUGCUCCAAAGCUCUGUAAUAAGGUUAUUUUAGUAAAAGGGUGUGUGUGGCAUAUAUUAAAUAAUAAGACUAAUUACUGUAUAAUGACAAUGUUUAUGUCUUCAAUGUUGGGAAAAAGGUGUAUAGGUAAAAAGUGGAAGUUUCCUUUGCAGGUUAAAAGAAGACAAGAAAGGAAGAAGAACAAAGCACAGAAUGAGUUAACGGGAAAAAAAAAAGAAUUAGCUAGCAAGCUCAGGCUAUAGAUAAGACACUGACUCCAUUCAAGGACACUGCUCACAGUUAAGACUUGGCUAACAACUAGGAAAAAGAGGGCUUGAAUUUGCCCACACAGCUAUGAGAUCUGAAAAACACUGCCAGGCACUAAUGAAAUGUGUAAGUUUCUUUUCUCACAGGUAAAGAAGUGCUACCCAAAGACCCUAGCAGCGCUGCCACUCCUUGGAACCAGGAGACGGGAUUGAUGUAAAGGUCCACCGACGAAAGACUGCUCUGGCUCCACCCUGGAAAGGCCCUUAUUAAGUCCCGCUGACUACCAAGACCGCUGUGAAGUGCCAAAGACUGACUGCUUGGACCCAAGAUUCUCACUGCAAAAAGACCCACUCCACAUCGGGAGAAUUCUCCUACUGAUGAUUAGCCUAUUUCACCUUCUAGCUCCACUGUGCCUUUUGGACAGCAGGGAAAAAGUACAAGGAUGCUGCAUCACGACUGUUUUGGAAAAGAAGAAGGAACACUCGCUCCACUGAAAUUGCCAAAGUCCAGGAAUUCCUGACUAGAAAGGACAUUAAGAACUGACCCUGGUGAAGAAACAAAGAAUUAUACACUGGUGGGAGAACAUUUGUGGGACCUAUGCUUGGAAAUGUGGUAUUGAAUGGAUUUUGGGGUUUAUUCUACAGGCUGCGCCCUGUGUUUUGGAUAAAUCCCUCAGCAUAUAUAGCUCUCUCUAAUUGGAUUUUAAAUAACAAGUACCCAAAAGUUUGUUCUGCUACUAAAAAUUUUACCCAUAUUGAAACCAUUCCAAUAACUAAUAAUGUAUGCUCUUAAUGGAAAUGCCUUUUGACAGUACCUAAGAAUAGUUAAAUAACAGGUGUAUUAUAGUACUACACCAAGAAGGAAUGGUAUUAAAUAUAACUGAGGCUGGAAAGGCAUUGCAGUGGGAUCUAGUAUGUUUAGAAAUUCGGGAUUUCCUGAAUGACCAGCUGAUGGCCAUUCGGAGUAAUCUUGAGUAUCAGACUUGGCCCACUGCCCUUACAGACACAUCAGGAAUACCAUCUAAUCUGUGAUCAUGGAGACAUAUGUGGACACUUCCUGGGUGGAAGUGUGGCUUCCCAGGGCGGGGUGUGCACCCUUAUAGGGGAUGAAUACUGUACUUAUGUCCCAAAAAGCGCACAGGAUAUUAACAAGCACAUCCUGUCAGCUAAACAGGCUUUUGAACAGUGGAAGGCCCAGGAAAGGAAACCUACUAUUUCUGAUUCCCCCUGGGGCUGGUUGCUUAACCUGGAAGAACUAAGGGAAGGUAUUGUUCACCUCCUGCUCACUGGUGUGGUGUUGUGUAUCAUUACUCUUCUCUUGCUUGCUUGCUGUAAAGCACUCCAGCUCCCUAGAGCUUAAUCACAUGUUAUCCUUUAAAUGUGAGAACACUCAGCCAAAAGUUUGUUGAGUAUUCUCAAAGGAGGGAGUUGUUGGUGUCACUCUGGCAUAACCCUAGGUAAUUCGGAAAGGUGAUAGACCACAAGUGUCAAUGAAGCCCUUCUGCUGUAGGCCUUAAUGAACCAAUGUUCCUCCAUGUUAAACACUUUGUGUAACCUAGUGUAACCUAAUGUACUAAUAGCUGCAAAAAUGUAGUAUUACCAGUUAGCUUUUGAUUGUAAUAGCCAGUUCUCUGCUGUAACACAUUGAAGCUAGGCUAGAGCACGUUCAAGGUCGUUUUAAGAUACUGUAUACAUGUCUCAGCAGCAGAGAGGGGGAAGUCAAAAGAUUGACUGAAAAAGGAUACUGCAGCUGGAUGGGGAAGUACAGGGGAGUGAAAGAUCAGCUAGUCAGCAAGAAAGUUUUGUAGUAAACAACUGGGAUAUAAAAGGAAGAAACUGCUUGUUUUAGGGGUGCAGGAUCUGAGAUUGUUAUUUCUCCCUGGCACCUUAUUUGAGCUCAAAUAAAUUUGGUUGUUUGCUUCUC